GACGAACGCUGGCGGCGUGCUUAACACAUGCAAGUCGAACGGAAAGGCCCUGCUUUUGCUGGGCGCUCGAUUGGCGAACGGGUGAGUAACACGUGAGUAAACCCCCCUUGUCUUUGGGGUAACAUCUGGAAACUGGGGCUAAUACAGGAUAGAAGCUCCUGCUGCACGGUGGGGGUUGGAAAAUUUCGGCGGUUGGGGAUGGACUGGCGGGUUAUCAGCUUGUUGGUGGGGUAGGGGAUUACCAAGGCUUUGACGGGUAGCCGGCCUGAGAGGGUGAACAGGGACAUUGGGACUGAGAGACGGCGCAGACGGCAACGGGACGCAGCAGUGGGGAAUAUUGCAGAACGGGCGGAAGCCUGAUGCAGCAACGCCGCGUGCGGGAUGACGGCCUACGGGUUGUAAACCGCUUUCGCCUGUGAUGAAGCGUGAGUGACGGUAAUGGGUAAAGAAGCACCGGCUAACUACGUG
rnacentral:rRNA from 1 species